GUUUAAAGCCAUACCUCCCCAAAUACACCCUCAUCUGAUCUUGGAAGCUAAGCAGGGUCGUUGGCCUGGUUAAUACUUUAAUGGGACACUGCCUGGGAAUUCAGGAUGCUUUAAAAA
rnacentral:rRNA from 1 species